UACGGGGGGAGCUAGCGUUUUUCGGAAUUAUUGGGCGUAAAGGGCGUGUAGGCGGUUAAUAAAGUUGAGAGUGAAAUCCCCGGGCUUAACCUGGGAACUGCUUUCAAAACUCAUUAACUAGAGAACGAUAGAGGAUAGUAGAAUUCCUAGUGUAGAGGUGAAAUUCUUAGAUAUUAGGAGGAAUACCGGUGGCGAAGGCGGCUAUCUGGAUCGUUUCUGA
rnacentral:rRNA from 1 species